UCAUAUCCGUACUAGUGGGAGCCGGAUUUGAGUGGGAUUCACCGAGGUCUUAGCGCAAAUGUGGCUAGAAUCUGGCUAACUCAGGGAUCAUGAUGUCAUAC